rnacentral:lncRNA from 1 species
UGCAUGAAGCGGUGACAUACAACAAUUUACUUGUUUAGUUUACAGCUAAAAAUAUGCAUAUAAGAUUAAGAGCAAUUUGGUGGGUACUAAUAAAGUAAAUAAACGUUUAGGAGCAGAUUUGAGAUGCCAGUGGAAGUCUAAUUUCUAGAGAGAGUGGAUCAUUUGAGAAAUAUUUUACAGGGUAGGAGGUAGGGUGAAUAUGGUAUUGGUUGGUGAGAAGACAAGGUGGGUCUCAUACCCCUAGAUACGCCUUGUUUGCAUCCCUAAUUAGAGCACAUAUAAUAGU